rnacentral:rRNA from 1 species
GCCUGAACUGAAACAUCUAAGUAGGGCGAGGAAGAGAAAUCAACCGAGAUUCCGCUAGUAGUGGCGAGCGAACGCGGAAGAGGCCAAACCAAGAGUAGUAAUACUUUUGGGGUUUUGGACAGCGUGCGGUAUUAACUGCGGUUAGUAGAAUGAAAUGGGAAGUUCAACCACAGAGCGUGAUAGUCGCGUACACGAAAACUAAAGUUAGCCAGCUGGAUCCAGAGUACCGCCGGACACGUGAAACCCGGUGGGAAGACGGGGGGACCACCCUCCAAGCCUAAAUACUCUCCAAUGACCGAUAGUGUAUAGUACUGUGAAGGAAAGGUGAAAAGAACCCCUGGCGGGGAGUGAAAUAGAACCUGAAACCUUGUGCCUACAAGCACAUAGAGCGCGUCAAUGCGUGAUAUGGUACCUUUUGUAGAAUGGUCCGGCGAGUGAAUGUCACUGGCAAGGUUAAGCUCUUAAGGAGUGCAGCCGAAGCGAAAGCGAGUCUGAAAUGGGCGUUUUAGUCAGUGGUAUUCGACCCGAAACCGGGUGACCUAGCCAUGAGCAGGCUGAAGUGGAGGUAAAACUCCAUGGAGGGCCGAACCCACUCCCGUUGAAAUGGUAGGGGAUGACUUGUGGCUAGCGGAGAAAUUCCAAUCGAACCCGGAGAUAGCUGGUUCUCUCCGAAAUAGCUUUAGGGCUAGCCUCAAUUAACAUUACCGCAGGUAAAGCACUGAAUGAGCUAGGGGGCGAAAGCUUACUGAACUCUAUCAAACUCAGAAUGGCGGAUAAUGAAUGAUUGGGAGUCACACUACGUGAGAUAAGUUUCGUGGUGGAAAGGGAAACAGCCCAGACCCACAGCUAAGGUCCCAAAGUACAGUUAAGUGGAAAAGGAUGUGAAAUUGCGCAGACAACCAGGAUGUUGGCUCAGAAGCAGCCACUCAUUCAAAGAGUGCGUAAUAGCUCACUGGUCGAGUGAUUUUGCGCCGAAAAUUUAACGGGGCUAAACUGUACACCGAAGCUUGGGAAUAUACAUUUGUAUGUUGGUAGGAGAGCGUUGUGUAAGGGGUGAAGUCGUAGCGAAAGCGGCGGUGGACUUUACACAAGUGAGAAUGCCGGAAUGAGUAGCGAGAAUUAUGUGAGAAUCAUAAUGGCCGAAAGACUAAGGUUUUAGAAGGAAGGUUCGUCCGCUUCUAGUUAGCCGGGAGCUAAGGCGAGGCCGAGAGGCGUAGUCGAUGCACAUACGGUUGAGAUUCCGUAGCUACCUUGCAUUUAAGCGAAGGGACACAUUUGAAGGGCAUGACCCGGGCGUUGGUUGACCCGGGCGUAAGGGACCGAAAAUAAGUAGGGAAGCAUGCUUGGAUGGUGGCGAGAAAAGCUUCGUGUAUAUAAGCAGGGUACCCGUACUGCAAACCGACACAGGUAGUCAGGAAGAGGAUUCUAAGGCCAUCGGGAGAAGCGUUGUUAAGGAACUCGGCAAAUUGACCCCGUAACUUCGGAAUAAGGGGUGCUCACGCGAGUGAGCCGCAGUGAAUAGGUCCAGGCAACUGUUUAUCAAAAACACAGCUCUCUGCUAAAUCGUAAGAUGACGUAUAGGGGGUGACACCUGCCCGGUGCUGGAAGGUUAAGAGGAGGGGUGCAAGCUCCGAAUUGAAGCCCCAGUAAACGGCGGCCGUAACUAUAACGGUCCUAAGGUAGCGAAAUUCCUUGUCGGGUAAGUUCCGACCCGCACGAAUGGUGUAAUGAUCUGGACACUGUCUCAACAACGCACCCGGCGAAAUUGUAGUACCGGUGAAGAUGCCGGUUACCCGCGGCAAGACGGAAAGACCCCAUGGAGCUUCACUGUAGCCUGAUAUUGGGUCUCGGUAUUUUAUGUACAGGAUAGGCGGGAGACUUGGAAACCAGCACGCCAGUGUUGGCGGAGUCACCCUUGGGAUACCGCUCUUAAAGUAUUGAGAUUCUAACCUGCAGCCAUGAAUCUGGCUGGGGGACAUUGUCAGGUGGGCAGUUUGACUGGGGCGGUCGCCUCCAAAAGAGUAACGGAGGCGUUCAAAGCUUGGCUCAGCGCGGACGGAAAUCGCGCAAAGAGUAUAAACGCAGAAGCCAGGUUAACUGUGAGACCAACAAGUCGAGCAGAUACGAAAGUAGGAGUUAGUGAUCAGGUGGUAGUGAGUGGAAAUGCCAUCGCUUAACGGAUAAAAGCUACCCUGGGGAUAACAGGCUGAUCUCCCCCAAGAGUUCACAUCGA